UACGUAGGGUGGCAAGCGUUGUCCGGAAUUAUUGGGCGUAAAGCGCGCGCAGGUGGUCCUUUAAGUCUGAUGUGAAAGCCCACGGCUCAACCGUGGAGGGUCAUUGGAAACUGGGGGACUUGAGUGCAGAAGAGGAUAGUGGAAUUCCAAGUGUAGCGGUGAAAUGCGUAGAGAUUUGGAGGAACACCAGUGGCGAAGGCGACUGUCUGGUCUGUAACUGACACUGAGGCGCGAAAGCGUGGGGAGCAAACAGG
rnacentral:rRNA from 1 species